GCCGUCUGAAAAUCCUGCAGAUGAGGUCCUGUACAGCUCAGUCAUCCUGAAAAAUCUACAGACCACACACUCAUCUCACCGUUCUGCAGCAGAUAGUGAUGUGAUUUACAGCUCAGUUACCGGGCAGAAAACACAGUAGGGGGCAGCAACGUGACGAAAGACUACGUCCCAACAGGAAUUUUGUCCACAAGCCCGAAGGAAGAGGCCUGGAUGUUCAGCAACGUGUGGAACCUGAGGAUUCCUAUUUCAGAGCAUCAAAUACAGCUAGUCACCCCAUUACAAAUAUUUGACUCUUUUUUCUCAACUGGACAAAAAAAGACACCAUCAUUUUCCUAACUUCAAAAGGAACUAUCGCCCUCUGUUGGACAGAUUAGAACACAUUUUUCCUCGGCGAUUAAAAUAAACCCAAAGCAUUCCAAACACUCCCAGUAGCGCUAACAAAUUGUAAUUACAAUUACAAAUUACCUGUACACUUUCAAAAAAUAUUAUUGAAAACAACAACAUUACCAAUGAAAAGCCAUUUGAUGUGUGGAAAAUCUGUAUAAAUCGUAUGUAACUGUAUGAAUCCUGUUAGUUUAAAGUAUAAUUCAUAAAUAUUUAGUAAAUGGUAAUGAUAGUUAUCCUUCUCUGGUCACUGAGAGAGCCCAGACUACAGAGAACGAGGGACCAAAGAGGUGGGGACUGAGAGGAACAGGAAGUGAGACUCACGCUAAAGGGAGCUGGAGUCUCUAACAGACACACACACCCAUCAGGCACAUAUGGCUCUCACUCUGAUACUCUUCCUCUCCAUCCUCUUCCUCACUGUGCUGCCAGGUAGGACUCGUUUCUCACACUGUAUACUGAACUCUGGAGCAUUGUAGCAGAGAGACUGUCUGUGCCAUGAACUUGAAUGAAUGAGUAAUACUGAAGCAUGGAGUUUACAUAAUACAUUAUAGGACUAAUGUGAUUAGAAUGCACUCAGUGAGCACUUUAUUAGGUAGACAUGUACACCAGCUUG